rnacentral:rRNA from 1 species
UACGUAGGUGGCAAGCGUUGUCCGGAAUUAUUGGGCGUAAAGCGCGCGCAGGCGGUCCUUUAAGUCUGAUGUGAAAUCACGUGGCUCAACCACGUGCGGUCAUUGGAAACUGGAGGGCUUGAGUGCAGAAGAGGAAAGUGGAAUUCCAAGUGUAGCGGUGAAAUGCGUAGAGAUUUGGAGGAACACCAGUGGCGAAGGCGACUUUCUGGUCUGUAACUGACGCUGAGGCGCGAAAGACGUGGGGAGGCGAACAGGAUUAGAUA